rnacentral:RNase_P_RNA from 1 species
UGAGCAAGCUGGGCAGUCGCGGCUUUUUGCUGAGGAAAGUCCGGGCUCCACAGGGCAAGGGUGCUGGAUAACGUCCAGUGGGGGUGACCCCAAGGAUAGUGCCACAGAAAUUAAACCGCCCCUUUUGGGGUAAGGAUGAAACGGUGCGGUAAGAGCGCACCAGCAGCCAGGUGACUGGUUGGCUUGGUAAACCCCACCCGGAGCAAGACCGAAUAGGAGGGAUAAGGGCGGCCCGUCCGGCCCUCGGGUAUGGUCGCUUGAGGCAUCAGGCAACUGAUGUCCCAGAUAGAUGACUGCUACCCCAAAAGGGGUACAGAACCCGGCUUAUACGCUUGCUCAUACA